GAGCGGCGGACGGGUGAGCAAUACAUAGGAAUCUACCUUAGAGCGGGGGAUAGCCCGGGGAAACCCGGAUUAAUACCGCAUGAUGUAAAGACCAAAGUGGGGGACCGUAAGGCCUCACACUCUGAGAUGAGCCUAUGUCGGAUUAGCUAGUUGGCGGGGUAACGGCCCACCAAGGCGACGAUCCGUAGCUGGUCUGAGAGGACGAUCAGCCACACCGGAACUGAGACACGGUCCGGACUCCUACGGGAGGCAGCAGUGGGGAAUAUUGGACAAUGGGCGAAAGCCUGAUCCAGCGACGCCGCGUGGGUGAAGAAGGCCUUCGGGUUGUAAAGCCCUUUAAGCCGGGACGAAAAAAUCGGCGAUAACAUCGCCGGUCUUGACGGUACCGGAAGAAUAAGCACCGGCUAACUCUGUGCCAGCAGCCGCGGUAAUACAGAGGGUGCAAGCGUUAAUCGGAUUUACUGGGCGUAAAGCGUGUGUAGGUGGCUAGCUAAGUCGAUUGUGAAAUCCCCGGGCUCAACCUGGGAAUUGCAGUUGAUACUGGCAAGCUCGAGUUCGGUAGAGGGUGACGGAAUUCCCGGUGUAGCGGUGAAAUGCGUAGAUAUUGGGAGGAACAUCGAUGGCGAAGGCAAUCACCUGGGCCUGAAC
rnacentral:rRNA from 1 species